GGAUGCAUACAAACAGUCUGAGCCCAAGACGCGUUCUGGGUGACGGCGUACCUCUUGUAUAAUGGGUCAUCGACUUAGUCUGUCUAGCAAGCUUAAGCCGUUAGGUGUAGGCGUAGCGAAAGCGAGUCUGAACAGGGCGUUUUAGUUCGUUGGAUUAGACCCGAAACCGAGUGAUCUAGCCAUGGCCAGGUUGAAGGUGCGGUAACACGCACUGGAGGACCGAACCCACGCCUGUUGAAAAAGUCGGGGAUGAGCUGUGGCUAGGGGUGAAAGGCCAAUCAAACUCGGAAAUAGCUGGUUCUCCGCGAAAUCUAUUUAGGUAGAGCGUCGGAUGAAUACUCUCGGGGGUAGAGCACUGGAUGGGCUAUGGGGGCUUACCGCCUUACUGAUCCUAACCAAACUCCGAAUACCGAGAAGUACUAUCCGGCAGACACACAGUGGGUGCUAACGUCCAUUGUGGAGAGGGAAACAACCCUGACCGCCAGUUAAGGUCCCUAAGUUAUGGCUAAGUGGGAAAGGAUGUAGGACUCCCAAAACAACCAGGAUGUUGGCUUAGAAGCAGCCAUCAUUUAAAGAAAGCGUAACAGCUCACUGGUCAAGCGCUCCUGCGCGGAAAAUGUAACGGGGCUUAAGUGAUACACCGAAGCUGCGGAUUCGAUCUUUGAUCGAGUGGUAGCGGAGCGUUCCGUAGGCCGAUGAAGGCAGACCCGCGAGGGCUGCUGGAGGUAUCGGAAGUGAGAAUGCUGACAUGAGUAGCGACAAAGAGGGUGAGAGACCCUCUCGCCGAAAGUCCAAGGGUUCCUGCGUAAAGCUAAUCUGCGCAGGGUUAGCCGGCCCCUAAGGCGAGGCAGAAAUGCGUAGUCGAUGGGAACCAGGUUAAUAUUCCUGGGCCGUGUGGUGGUGACGGAUCGUGAAGGUAGUUCAUCCUUAUCGGAUUGAAUGGGCUGCUGAUCGGUUCCUGGAAAUAGCCCCACUUUAAGACCGUACCCUAAACCGACACAGGUGGACUGGUAGAGAAUACCAAGGCGCUUGAGAGAACGAUGUUGAAGGAACUCGGCAAAAUACCUCCGUAAGUUCGCGAGAAGGAGGCCCAGUUUCUAGGCAACUAGUGGCUGGGGGCACAAACCAGGGGGUGGCGACUGUUUACUAAAAACACAGGGCUCUGCGAAG
rnacentral:rRNA from 11 species